AGGGCAGAUGCGCUGUUACUGGCGGGCACUGCGAGAGCCUCGGAGCAAACGCUGCUAACAUCUGCUGGGGAUGAGGCUUCGGGCAGGGCCGGGUCUCUGGGUGUUCCCUUUCACCUGGGAAGGGUGCAGAGGGCUGACAGUACUCACACCCCCUUUCCCGGGGGCACCCAGAAUCUCUGGAGUCCCGCUUGGGUCACCGGGUUGGAAAAUAUUUCCCGGGUUCGCAGUGCAGGGUGUGGAAUGUGACUGAGGAGAAGGGCAGGGAGGUCAGACAUGCCUGUAAACACCGAGUGGGAGGGAGGAAGGCCUUCGCGUCAUGGCAGCGCGCAGACCUUAGGGGUCUCUGCAACGCAGCCACCUGGAAGGCUGGGCUUUUCACCCGACUCUCUUCGGGGGUGAGUUUCUCCUAAUGUCUGACAGGCCGGGGAACAGUGCCAGGGUCAGAGGACCCAGCUCCGCUUCUAUUUCUGGCACCCAGUUCCGGGUGGUGGGCCUUCCUUUCCUCUCUGCAGGAACGGGGUGAGCCAGAUGGCUCGGAGCCGCAGCUCCCUGUCUGCCAGGUCCAGUGCCCCAGGGAGGGGGGCUCUGGCAGCUCCCGAAGGCAAGUCGGCUCCUGACUCCCUCGCUAGCUGGGCAGCCUGGGGCUGCUGUCGGGAAGGGCCUUGCCUGACUGUGCAGUGAGUUUAGGUAAAAGCCUGCCCAGGCCCCGGAGGCUCUGUGAUUUCCAGGGCAGCGGGCGAAUUUCUGCAGCUUGGGCGCCUGCAGGAUCCCUGAGUCAGUGCAGGCCUCACAGCUGGCAGGUGUGUGGGGGACAGAGCCCCACAAGGGCCUGGUGCAGACGGGGGUGGAGUGUCGGGAAAAGGCCUGGAGGCUGCUCCAGGGUGAGACUGCUUGGACGGGCCUGGGAAGGCUCCUCUUCUGAAUCAUGGGCCUGCAGCCCUGGCUUUUCUGCCGGAAAGAUCUGUAACUCAGCAAGAUGGCCUAACGUUUACACACACGUGGGGGAGGGGAGGGGAAGGAAGAAAAGACUGAAAAACAAAGAGACCUCUCCUGGCUGUACCAAAGGCAUCUAUCCUUGAAAGAAAUCAUUUUCCGAGCAUGCCCAGAAGCUGCAGUAUCUUGUAACUGGAACUAGGAAGUGAGAAGGUGCAGCUCGCAGGCACCGCCGGGACUGGCUCGAUCGAUCGGCUAAUGGAGGCAGUGUGAUCCUGCAGAUGAAACAGGUGUCGGAGACGGACUUCCCCCACCAGGUGUGAAAACAGAGGAGCUCCACACCACCUACAGCCAGCAGCUGCAACCCCAUAAAAGCCACGGAGACCAGCGCCUCCCAGGAGGACACACUGAUACUAGAAUGGAACGGAAGCCCCCCGAAAUCCAGGGAGUGGUUACUUCAGGGGGUACAGCCCCUGCAGUCCUGAGCGUGAACUUGGUGAGAGUGAGUUACACUCAGUGGGGCAGCGUUUCCAUCCUGCAGGCGUAUCCGCUUGGGGAUGCGAGGCCAUCCUCUCGCUCGCCCUGGAUUUGUGGCCACUGCCUGGACCCUCACUGUCUUCCUCACGGAGGCCGCUGUCGGUCUCCAGACCCGCACAGGGUCCUUUACGUGUGCAAACUGCGCUUCCAGCUCUCAGCACCAGGCCUGGCAGGUCCUGGGGGAGGGAUUCUGAAGGACCCAGGAGCAUAAAUGAGACCCUGGAGUAGCUGCGACAGAUUCAGGCUCUGAAGUAACACGGGGAAGUUCUGCUUGUCUGUGCCAUCUAUGUGGUCUUGGUUAAAAGUGAUCACCACUCAAGGUGAGGGGUGAGGGAUGCAAAGUAGGAAGGGUACGCCAACAGAGCAGAAGCAUUCCUCAGGACGCAGCGGACAGAGAGCCAGGGCAGGGCAGGGAGAGGCCUGAGGGGGGGAUGUGGGUGGGAAGUCCAGCUCAGGUGUGAAUUCUUCAAAAGUGUCCACUGACUCUCAAGGUGUUUGCAUUCAGAGACGAUGUUUGCCUGACAAGUUGUGUUUACAUUUUGUCAGCAAGAUCUCAACCCCAAAGAGGCAAAUCUCUCUCUCUUUAUGGUUGACAGUUACUGCUCUCCAAUGCCUAGGUCAGUGGUUCUCAACCUUCCUAAUGCCGUGACCCUUUAAUACAGUUCCUCAUGUUGUGGU